rnacentral:lncRNA from 1 species
GGAAUCCACUUGGCAUUUAGGUGCAACAUUGCCAAAGAAGGAGAUGUUCACAGUACAUUUGAAGAGAUGGAGAAACAUUUAGGUCCAGUAAAUUUCUUGGUAAAUGCAGCUGGUAUUAACAGGUUGGUCAAAGAUUGGGGUGAAUUUCUGAUACCUGUUUUAAAAGAUUCUUUUCUUAAUAUGUUCAUGGCUUAGUGUCUUUUUUUCCAUUGCUAUUACAAAAUGUCACAACCAAAGGCUAUAUAUAAAACAAAGUGUCCAAUUGAGGUUAUGGUUUCAGAGUGUUAAAGCCAUGUUGGUGGAGUAAAGCCACCCUAGUAGCAACAGCCAGGAACUUGUACUGAGAACUGCGUCUGGGAGGCAGGGGUAGGGCACAGGGGAAAUAGAGCCAGUCUUUGAAACCUCAGAGCCCACUCCCAGUGACAUACCUCCUCCAACAAGCCAUUCUCCCUACUCUUUCCCAAGCUUGGUCCUAAACUGGGGCCAAGAAUUCAAAUAUAUGAGCUAUGGAGACCAUUUUCAUCCAGAACACCACAAUUAGUAUGAUACAAUAUAUUAGGCUAUUUUAUUUCUAACUGGAAAGACUUAUUUCAAAAAUCGUCAAUCUAUACAUUCUUUUAUUUAAAUGAUGUGUGUGUGUGUGUGUGUGUGUGUGUGUGUGUAUCUUCAUGUUAGUAUAUGCAGAUACAUGUAUCCCCCAGAAGCUAAAGAGGGCAUCAAAUCCCCUAGAGAUGGUGAUACAGGCGCCUGUGAGCUAC